rnacentral:lncRNA from 1 species
CUUUGGCAUGCAAACAUGCUCAAGUCUGUCUUAUUAAAAAAGAAAAUAAAAAACAAAAACAACCUCUCUUACAUUCACUUCUCAACCCAAAGUCUGGCUUCAGUGCCCACCAUUCCACUGAAACUGCUUCCCCAAGGGAGCUGUGACCUCCCUGCCCCCAAAAUCCAGUGGAUGUGUUAUUGGUUCCUUAUUAUUCUGGACUUGUUGCCAGUGUUGCACACUGUUGACCACUCUCUCCUGCUUGAAGCGUCUGUUCCAGUGGCUUACAUUACACAGUACUCUUCUGGUUUCCUUCCUACCUCUGUAGCUGUGGCUUUUCAGUCUCAUGUGGUCUUCUUUUCUUCCUUUUGCUUAAAUACUAGUGUUCUUCACAGUUGGUUCCCUCCUGAGACCCCUUCUCUCCUCAUUCCUUCAAGGUCACCAUCUCCAACACUGAACUUAUGUUCUUUGUCCCAGUCCUGUCUCCCAACCUGUCCUUCAUCUUGUGUUCAGUGUUUCAGUACAUAGCAGCUUCCAUAUACCUCGUGACCUGGGCAUGAUCUUUAACUUUUUUCCCCCACCUCUCUCUGAGUGUGGCUAACUACUGACCACGUUUUGUCAGUUCCACUUCCUCACUAUCUCUGGAAGCUGUGUACUAUUCUACACUCUCACUGCCCUACUCUGGUUCAUGCCAUCACUGCUUGCCUGUAAUCCUUCAGUAGCAUCCUAAGUGGCCUCUUUUCUUUCCUUCUGGUGUCCCCCUUCCUCUCAAUCUAUCCUCCAUCCAGAUUGAGCUUUCUGCAAUACAAAUGAGUUAUUUUCUCUCCCCUGAUUUCAGCCUCUCGUUAUCCUUUGGAUAAGGUCCAAAACCUGUAACACAUGACCCUCAGAGCCCUUUGUGAUGUAUUUCUCAUUCCCUCUUCAGCUUCAGCUGUAAUUGUCCUUCCCAACUUUCUUUGGACAAUUUGAAAACCUUCUUUUUGCUCUUCCUGGCCCUGCACAGAUUAGUUGUCCUCCCUGAACACUUUCAUUCUUCUUCCCCCUUGCCCAGUCAUCUUUCUAGAUCACCUCAGGCAUCACCUCCUCUGGGAAGUCCAGGUGAGAUUACCUUUCUGGGAGUCCUCUGCUCCCUGGAAUUUGUCACACUGUGUUAUGAUUUCCAGUUUGUCCAUCCUUGUCACCCAUUAGUUCCUUGAAAGAGGGACCACAACUGUUAGUUCUUGUCACAACCUCUCUGCUUCACACAUUGCUAGGCAUGCAGUCCCUGCCCAAUAAAUAUUUAUGAGAUGAAUUAACUGGUUUUUGUGUGUGUGUUUUUCUUAAAUAGCAUUUGUAAAGACAGUUAUUAGCAAUUUAUAAAGAUUUUAUCAGCCAGGUGCGGUGGCUCACGCCUGUAAUCCCAGCACUUUGGGAGGCCAAGGCGAGUGUUCAUGAGGUCAGGAGAUCAAGACCAUCCUGGCCAACAUGGUGAAACC